GCCUGAGAAGCUCAGUCGGUUGGGCGUCCGACUUCCGCUCAGAUAUUGAUUUUGCGGUCUGUGGGUUCAAGUCCCACAUCAAGCU
rnacentral:tRNA from 1 species